rnacentral:rRNA from 1 species
UUUUUAAUGAGAGUUUGAUCCUGGCUCAGGACGAACGCUGGCGGCGUGCUUAACACAUGCAAGUCGAGCGAAGUAAUCUUGAAUGAAGUUUCGAUGGAAUGAUAGAUUAUCUUAGCGGCGGACGGGUGAGUAACGCGUGAGAAACCUGCCUUUC